rnacentral:rRNA from 1 species
UACGUAGGGUCCGAGCGUUGUCCGGAAUUAUUGAGCGUAAAGAGCUCGUAGGCGGUUUGUCGCGUCUGCUGUGAAAUCCCGAGGCUCAACCUCGGGCCUGCAGUGGGUACGGGCAGACUGGAGUGCGGUAGGGGAGAAUGGAAUUCCUGGUGUAGCGGUGGAAUGCGCAGAUAUCAGGAGGAACACCGAUGGCGAAGGCAGUUCUCUGGGCCGUAACUGACGCUGAGGAGCGAAAGCGUGGGGAGCGAACAGG